rnacentral:rRNA from 1 species
UACGUAGGGUGCGAGCGUUGUCCGGAAUUAUUGGGCGUAAAGAGCUCGUAGGCGGUGUGUCACGUCGGCCGUGAAAUCCCUCAGCUUAACUGGGGAACUGCGUCCGAUACUGGAUGGCUUGGAUUUGGGAGAGGGAUGCGGAAUUCCAGGUGUAGCGGUGAAAUGCGUAGAUAUCGGGAGGAACACCAGUGGCGAAAGCGCCUUACUGGACCAUUACUGACGCUGAGGAACGAAAGCCAGGGUAGCGAAAGGG